GAGUUUGAUCUUGGCUCAGAUUGAACGCUGGCGGCAGGCCUAACACAUGCAAGUCGAGCGGUAGAGAGAAGCUUGCUUCUCUUGAGAGCGGCGGACGGGUGAGUAAUGCCUAGGAAUCUGCCUGGUAGUGGGGGAUAACGUUCGGAAACGGACGCUAAUACCGCAUACGUCCUACGGGAGAAAGCAGGGGACCUUCGGGCCUUGCGCUAUCAGAUGAGCCUAGGUCGGAUUAGCUAGUUGGUGAGGUAAUGGCUCACCAAGGCGACGAUCCGUAACUGGUCUGAGAGGAUGAUCAGUCACACUGGAACUGAGACACGGUCCAGACUCCUACGGGAGGCAGCAGUGGGGAAUAUUGGACAAUGGGCGAAAGCCUGAUCCAGCCAUGCCGCGUGUGUGAAGAAGGUCUUCGGAUUGUAAAGCACUUUAAGUUGGGAGGAAGGGUUGUAGAUUAAUACUCUGCAAUUUUGACGUUACCGACAGAAUAAGC
rnacentral:rRNA from 1 species